rnacentral:lncRNA from 1 species
GAAGCAUGCAGGUGGGUUGAAUCAAUAGGACCCAUCAAGUUGGUUCAACAACCUGACCAAAUGGAAUCCACUUUUGUAAAUAGAAUUGAAAUUUGACUAGUUCCAAUUCUUUUAUUGAAUUGAACCUGUCCCGCUUGUACAGAUAGAGCUGCAAAUUGGACUUUCUUAAAUCCUUUCAUACUGAAGAUGUUCUGCAUCAAACUACGACCUGCAACUAGGAUUAUGACCUGGAACUUGUUUGCAAUAGUUGCACUC